UAUAUACAUAUAUAUAUAUCACACAGUCGAUUUCUUCGAACGAAGUGAAAUUCGCAACGACCUUCCGGCGCCGUUAGUAAUCAAGCACGGGUAGAGCGGGACACCUUUUUGUUAUCUAAUUGUUAGCGGUGAUUGGGUAACAAGUCGUACGUAUCUUAAGGAAGAGUUUAACGUUCGAAGGCUGCUAACGUCGAACUGCUGCUACUGCUGCUGCUGUUGCUGCUGUUGCUGUUGCUGUUGUUGCUACUGUUGCUAUUUUACUACUGUUUUAGCUGUUGCUGAUGUUACUGGUGUUGUUGUUACUGUUACUGCUAUUGCUGUUGCUGCUGUUACUGCUGCUGUUGCUGUUGCUUUCGAUGAAGUUGAAUCGCGAGAGGGAAUAGCGUCGUGAUUUACCGAGCUUCUUCAAGUAAAGAGAGUGAAUGAGUGAGUGAGUGACUGAGUGAGUGAGUGAAUAAGAGAGAGAUAGAGAGAUACAGAGAUAGAUAGAUAGAUAGAUAGAGAGAGAGAGAGAGAGAGAGAGACAGAUGAUAGAGAUAGAGAAAGAUAGACAGAUAGAGAUAGACUGAUAGAGAUAGACAGACAGAGAUACAAAGAGAUAGAGAUAGAGAUAGAUAAAGAGAGAGAGAGAGAGAGAGAGAGAGAGAGAGAUAGCAGAGUAUACGUCUCUCGAGUUUACCGCGUUUGAGACGAACGAGGAGGAAACUCUCCUGGUAUUUUCGUGUUGGACGCGUUCGAGAGAAAUUCCGCUAAGUCUCUUCCGUUAGUUCUCGUACAACGAGAAAAGUUUAACACCCCUUAGAUGAUGAAGAAGAGAAAGAUUAAAAAGGAGGAGGAGGAAAAAGAAGAAGAAGAAGAAGAAGAAGAAGAAGAAGAAGAAGAGGAAGAGGAAGAGGAAGAGAAAAAAGUAAAUAAUACCUGAGUGAAUUGCAUUUGAAGAAAGUGAAAGAAAGAGUGAUACAUAAAUACGGAAAAAAAAGUGCAAAAUAAAUACGGAACAAAAAAAAAAAAAAAAAAAAAAAAAAAGAAAAGGAAAAGUGCGAACGAGAAAAUAAAGAAAAUAUAUAAUAUAAUAUAAUAUAAUAUAAAAUAAGGAUGAGAGAUUUAAAAGAUUAUAUCAAUGGUGUUAUACACGUGAAAAUUCAAGUUAUAUUAGAGAAACGCGAGAAGACGUGAAAGGACAAUGCCACGAGACGACGAGUGUGUACAUAUAUAUGUAUAUGUUUAUAUACGCGUGUGAUUUAAUGAAUGAAACAUUUGUUUUUUUAUUUAACGAUUUCGCGAAAAUUAACGUCGAGGAUUAAUAACGACGUAAACGACGACGACGAGAACAACAACAACAAUAACAAGAAGAAGAAAUAUUUAAAUGAACGUUUUGAAUACGUCGGUGUAUUAGAAAUUUAAUUGUGGACCUUUAAAUUCGUCGCCGGUCGACGAAUUAGGACGGAAAACGGGACAAGGAUUUUUCUAAAAAGAAAAGAAAGUUGUGGUGUUUUUUUUUCUCCCCCUCGCAUCAUGCCAGUUUUUAACAUAAUCGCACGCAGAUGCAAGGUGAGUCUCAGCAUUUGAAUAUCUCUCUUUAUUUUUCUUUUUUUUCUUUCCUCUUUCCUUUCCUUUUCUCUCUCUCUCUCUCUCUCUCU